rnacentral:rRNA from 1 species
UACGUAGGGUCCAAGCGUUAUCCGGAAUCACUGGGCGUAAAGCGUGCGUAGGUGGCGCGUUAAGUGUGAUGUUAAAUCGCGGGGCUCAACCCUGUCGAUGCAUCGCAUACUGGCGUGCUAGAGGGAAGCAGAGGCAAGUGGAACUAGUAGUGUAGCAGUGAAAUGCGUAGAUAUUACUAAGAACACCAAUGGCGAAGGCAGCUUGCUGGGCUUCUUCUGACACUGAGGUACGAAAGCGUGGGGAGCAAACGGG